CAUUACCCUUUCCACUUACCCGACCAGCCCACUUAUUUAAUUACCCGAUCCAGCCCACUGCAACACCUAACAGACCAGCCCAACAAUUCAACUCCUCAGCCCACGACCCGCCAACCCGAUCCGACCCAUUCCAUAACAAAAGAUGAAACCAGUAGGGUUUCAUUCUUUCCCCUUCACGCCGCACUUCAUCUCUUUCUCCUUCACUCUCCACGAUCAGUUCCUCCCUCUCUCAUCCCUAUUCAGCAAAAACGCAGUCCCCUUUCAACAUCAUAGAAUUUGGACACUCCAUUUUCGUGCAAUACGCACAGCUCCGGACCCCUUCUCUCUUCUUUCUCUUUCCCUCCGCUCUCUUUCUCGUCGUCUUCCUCCAUUUCUAGCAAAGACACAGCUUCCCUUUAGCCUUGGCAGAUAUUUGCCGCCCCUUUUUCGUGCUAGUAGCUAUGGUCAACACAAGAGACCAAGCUGUUGUUUUUGAAAUCUGAUUUUAUACAGAGAAAAACGAGAAGCAUUUCAACCCGUGACCCUACAUUCAAACGGCUAUCUCACUUUCAAAAUCCCGCCCAAAUCGAAACCCUAGACUUAAUUUUUACACCUAUAAAAUGACUGAGUUUUCAGCCGAAGGGGGGAUUUUUUUUUUUUUUUUUAAACACGGGAUUGGGGAUUGAACACUGAUUUGAGGUUUUUUUUUAGCAACGAGAAUUCUCUGAAAAUACCAAAAAAUAGUCUUGAGUUUUCCUUUUUUUUUUUUUUCAAUCUGGUUUUGAACUUUAAAAAUAUGAAAACAUUUUUGUUGAAAUACGAGAAUCGUGACGAAAGAUUAAAUGCUUGAUGAUUCAUUAACUUUCGUCGCUGUUAGGCAAAAGCAUUUCAAUUACGACAGAGGCACUUUAAUUUUGACUCGAGUGUCGAAUCUGUCAAUACGAGAGUAGAUUCGAGGCUUUGACGUCCCACUUCACUGCACCACGAACAGAUCGUGAUUCAAAAAAGCAUGUUUGCAUUUCUUAUUUCGUGUAGCUGCUGUAGCCGAUGAAUGGCCUAAUUUAAUCCUGAUGUCUGAUUUAUGUGCAAAGAUGAAAGGUACGCCGAUAGUUUUCCAUGAACUUGAAAUCAGAAUAGUGUGUAUGAUCAGCGUCGUCCAAUUUGUUAAAAUGUGUUCAAGCUGUUUGAUAAUGAGUUAAAACUGUUCCUAUAUGUCUCUAGGUUUAAGCUAAGCUCUCUAAGUUCCUCUUAUAUGAUUUUAAUUUUUGUGUACCUUUGAACGACUAAAGAUGAAACUCAGUUAUGAGAGAUUUUUUAAAAACUUGUUUAAACUGUGUGGUAAUAUUAACCCCUUCAUCUUGUCGGAUCAGACCAUGGGAUAAGUUUUAUAAAACUGAAAAGAGGAAUAAAUAGACAGCCUUUGUUGUUGUGGAUGAGCUUUUGAAGUUUGAAACAUGAUUUAUUCUGGUUACUGAGCAGUUGAAAUAGUUUACAUAUAGCAUUAUGAGAUGAACAUGUUCGACAUACACUUUGCUUCCCUUUUAUCAGAAAAACCGAAACAUAUCCUUACCUUCAUUUCAUAUAUCUGAAUCCUCGUGUGUUGGUUUUGACUCUAUUUGGUUUGAGUUUGAGUGAAGGAUUGAUUUCAUGCUCACCUGCCUUCUCAAAGAAGAAGAGACAUAGCAUUCAAGCUUGCCAAUUAGCCGUUAGCUACUCUUUUCUUUAAGUUUAAUUUCCACUCUGUACAGCCAACUGUUAUUGCAAUCUCUAAUUCUCGCUCUUGUUCAUUAUCGUUGUGGAACAUUUUAAAUGACAUAAUCGGCUAUUUAUUCUCAUGCAGAAGGUUGAAACAUUAUAGUAGUCAAAUUUUAACUUAAAAUAUUUAAGGACGGGGGAAUAUCAGGAACACAUCUUAGGUUAUGAAGGCAGGAUUUAGUUGGUUCCUCCAUGAAAAUUUGUGGUCCAGGAUAGACCUCAAAGCCGUAAAGAUGCUUAUGCGAUGAAAUGAAGUAGACGUGUACUUAGUUUGGUCUUAUGGGUUUCUGUUUCACUGCAAGUAUAUGAUUGUAGAAAAUAUAUGAAAUCCAUCUUUCCUUGGCCACAUGAUAAAUUUUACUUGGAAGUGAAGAGAUGCUUAAAUAUUUUACUCGUCGAGAAUUAAAUUUCCCUUUACUAAUUCCUUCAUUUUUUUCUUUGUUUACAUGUACACUUUGGGAGCAAAUGGAGUCUUUGUAAAAGACUCUCACUGUCCAAGCAAGUCUCGCCGUGAGACGUUGACGACAUCGACUACUACUGCAUUCCAUCUCGUGUUCAAACCCAUGUCCAUAUCACAACUUAACAGCCACAAUUCUUGAUUUCAGGAGGCCUAUACAAAUGGCUUCUUAUCUUUCUGUUUUAGCCUUUUAAUUAUUUAUUGGCCUUAUCCAAACUUGUUGUGUUAAAUAGUUUAGUUGAUCCACUCUGCUCACAUAGUAUCAUAUUUAAGGUUAAAAUGUAGUUUAUGUAGCUGAACCAGUUAGAGGAGUUAACUAUAUCAGCGAUUCAAUAUAAUACAUACUUGUUUUA